CAGAUCUAUAGACGGGGAGACGAUGGAAAUGAAAAAACGAAUCCACCUGGAGCUGAGGAACAGGACGCCGUCUGAUGUACGGGAACUAGUUUUGGACAACUGCAGGGCAAAAGAAGGCAAAAUCGAGGGACUAACAGGAGAGUUUGUCAAUCUUGAGUUUCUAAGCCUUAUAAAUGUUAUGUUGAUGUCAGUUUCAAAUCUUCCAAAACUACCCAAGUUAAAAAAGCUUGAACUGAGCGACAACAGGAUUUCUGGAGGUCUAGAUGUAUUAGCAGAGAAGCUCCCAAACCUCACACAUCUAAACCUCAGUGGAAAUAAAUUAAAAGAUAUUAGCACCUUGGAACCUUUGAAAAAAUUGGAGCAUCUAAAGAGUCUUGAUCUAUUCAACUGUGAAGUAACAAAUCUUAAUGACUACAGAGAAAGUGUAUUCAAGCUCCUUCCUCAGCUGACUUAUCUGGAUGGGUAUGACAAAGAUGAUAAAGAAGCCCCAGACUCAGAUGCAGAAGCUGACGGGGAUGGUGUGGAGGAGGAGGAAGAUGAUGAAGAAGGUGAAGAUGAAGACGAUGAUGAGGACGAAGGAUGAAGGAAGAAGAUAUAGAUGAGGAUGAAGAUGAGGAUGAAGAGGAAGAAGUAGGAGAGGAUGAGGAUGAAGACGCAAGCGGAGAUGAGGACGAUUUGGGACCUGAGGAAGUAGAAGAUGAGGAAGAAGAUGAAGAUGAGGACGGUGAUGAAGAAGAAGAAACUGGAAAAGGAGAGAAGAGGAAGAGAGAUACAGACGAUGAGGGUGAUGAAGAGGAAGACUAGAUUAAUUUGGGAAAUUUGAAAUAAAUAAAUAAAUUUAAAAAAAGGACCUUAUUGGAUUAUACAGUAUUGAUUGAACUGGCCCCAUUCAUGGAUUAUUGAAAAACAGGCUGCAAAUAAAUUGUAACAAUGAAAACAAGCCCUAUCCCUGAACACCCAAAAAGAGCCAAAGAGUCGUUACUGUGACAUUCCUACAGCCAAUAAACCCUACUGGAAGCUUACACCAUGGUUUAUAAUUAAGUCUCAAAAAGUAGAAAAAACAAAAAAAUUCUAUAUAUAUACAGAGAUUAAAAAAUAUAUAUAUUCUCAAAAUGUCCAGCUAAGCAAACUGGGUCAAUGCUUUUACUAUUAAGUUGGGGUUCGUAAGGGUUAACAAGCUGAGGGUGUGAUUGGUGAGUCAUGAUUGUCAAUGGCUACCUAUUGAAUAGACAUUGGAGCACCAUUUUUACUUUCUGUACAACAAACGGCAAAAAGGAAAAAAAAACAAAAACUUUGUAAAUAAAA